AGAGUUUGAUCAUGGCUCAGAGCGAACGCUGGCGGCAGGCUUAACACAUGCAAGUCGAGCGGGCAUCGCAAGAUGUCAGCGGCAGACGGGAGAGUAACACGUGGGAACAUGCCCUUCGGUUCGGAAUAACUCAGGGAAACUUGAGCUAAUACCGGAUACGUCCGUAAGGAGAAAGAUUUAUCGCCGAAGGAUUGGCCCGCGUCCGAUUAGCUAGUUGGUGAGGUAACGGCUCACCAAGGCGACGAUCGGUAGCUGGUCUGAGAGGAUGAUCAGCCUCACUGGGACUGAGACACGGCCCAGACUCCUACGGGAGGCAGCAGUGGGGAAUAUUGGACAAUGGGCGCAAGCCUGAUCCAGCCAUGCCGCGUGGGUGAUGAAGGCCCUAGGGUUGUAAAGCCCUUUCGGCGGGGAAGAUAAUGACGGUACCCGCAGAAGAAGCCCCGGCUAACUUCGUGCCAGCAGCCGCGGUA
rnacentral:rRNA from 1 species